AACUCAUGGUUUUAGAUGUGAAUGAAUGCCUUGAGACCCCAUCGGUCUGUGGUCCAAACUCAGUCUGCAACAACACCAUUGGAGACUACAACUGUACAUGCUGGAGUGGAUAUAAUGUCACUGAUCCAAGUUUGAAGAGUAGUGCUAACAAUACUUGUACAGGUAAGGUUGUUUUUACAAAGCAUUGAAAGCACCUUGGCACAUCGGAAAACACAUUUUUCUGCUUGAGUAAGCAUUUUCUUUUCACGGUACCCUUUUUCAGAUAUAAACGAAUGUGUUGAGAUAUCAAACGUGUGUGGAUUCAACUCCAACUGCACCAAUUACAAUGGAAGCUACAACUGUUCCUGCCUGAGUGGAUAUCAAGUGACCAGAGCAAACCAAUCCAUAAGUCUUAGCAAUCAGUGCACAGGUAAAUGAAAUCAUACAUGCUUUAGGUGUCUAUCUUUCAAAAUUUUACCGGACCUUUUUUCUCAGUAAAACAUUUUUUAACUCAUGGUUUUAGAUGUGAAUGAAUGCCUUGAGACCCCAUCGGUCUGUGGUCCAAACUCAGUCUGCAACAACACCAUUGGAGACUACAACUGUACAUGCUGGAGUGGAUAUAAUGUCACUGAUCCAAGUUUGAAGAGUAGUGCUAACAAUACUUGUACAGGUAAGGUUGUUUUUACAAAGCAUUGAAAGCACCUUGGCACAUCGGAAAACACAUUUUUCUGCUUGAGUAAGCAUUUUCUUUUCACGGUACCCUUUUUCAGAUAUAAACGAAUGUGUUGAGAUAUCAAACGUGUGUGGAUUCAACUCCAACUGCACCAAUUACAAUGGAAGCUACAACUGUUCCUGCCUGAGUGGAUAUCAAGUGACCAGAGCAAACCAAUCCAUAAGUCUUAGCAAUCAGUGCACAGAUGUGAAUGAAUGCCUUGAGACCCCAUCGGUCUGUGGUCCAAACUCAGUCUGCAACAACACCAUUGGAAACUACAACUGUACAUGCUGGAGUGGAUAUAAUGUCACUGAUCCAAGUUUGAAGAGUAGUGUUAACAAUCCCUGUACAGGUAAGGUUAUUUUUACGAGGCAUAUAAAGCUACUUGGC
rnacentral:lncRNA from 1 species